UUUGUGUUUUUUCUUGUAACAUCCUCCUUGUUGCAAAAAAAAAAAACUGCAACAUUAGUUAUGUUGCAGAAUAUUUUUCCGUAACACCAAUGUAAAGUUAAAAAAUCUGCAACAUUAGUUUUGUUGCAGAAAAAUUCUGCAACAAUAUCUAUGUUGCAAAAGUUCCUCAAUACGGCCCAUAUCACAAACAUCCGAACGCAACAUUAUGCUUAUUGCAGAAGUUGUAACCUAAUCAGUCGGUCAUCCCGUAUUAAAUCUUUAUGACAGAAAAAAAUAUAGUCGUUUACAGCUCUGUCGGGACCGAAACAAAGAGGUUGUUUCCGCAACUGGUUUGUUGUUUCAAGAAUUAAUGUGUUGAGGAGGCGACCAAGCCGCAUGCCAGAAAUUAGAUCGGAUGGUUACGAACGACUGUGCGCGUGAACAUCCGACGAUUGUCGUAGUGGUGGAUAUUUAUUAGGCAUCUACCUGUGGAUGCGUAGCGCUCCCCAUUUUUAUUUCUCCAGAGUGUUAGCCCAACUAGCGAGUAGCUGGCUCCAUUUUUAUUUCUCCAGAGUGUUAGCCCAACUAGCGAGUAGCUGGCUCCCGAGGAUCAGACGAAGUCGAGGAAUAACAACCUGAACUACAGCUAGUAUAAACUAGCAGAACACACACAUACACUGGGAUGGAGCUGCUCGUACUUGCUUUAUAUAUGUAGCUGAAUGGCUUCUUGCCUUGUAUUGAUUGGAAUGGAAUGAUUACAACAGGCUGUGAGCUGCUCCUUAUAUAGCAGUUGUGAACCGACCUAAGCAUAAAUAUCAGCUGGACCUUAGCUAAGCACUUACGUCACCUACUAGCUGCACUAGUAAACUACGUUUCUACUACUACGACCUUAACUACUAAGAAAUGCAAUUGAUAUUGCUGCCGACCUGCACCUUCUGCAUGCUAGGUAUUUGCUGCUCCUGUCGCUGUAUGCAUGCUACCUAAGACAAGGUUUGACUCAACAAUCUCCCCCUCAACCUUGUUGAAGGAGCUUGAUGUCGACGAUUCUAAUAUUGUCGUGUAGCUUCUGGAGGACUGCCUUGUCGUGUAGCUUCUGGAGGACUGCCUUGUCGUGGGCGUUAGUAUUGCUCGGGUCAUAGUUCCAGACGUCACACCGCCCGAGAACUCCUUUUUCGGGGUCUUCGCGUCGGACGUCAUGCUACCCAAGAACUUCCUUUCGUGGGAUGACUUGUCGGACAUCGCACUACCCGGGAACUCCCUUCCUGGGGUCGUUGUGCCAGACGCCGAAUUGCCCGGGAACUCCCUUCCCAGGUUGAUAUGCCGUACGUUACACUAACCGGAGUGGCUCCUCUCCGGGCAGCGGAAUCCUUGUCGCUCUUCCUGUCGGACUUGCUUGUCGGGUUUCCCCCGACAGUCACGGGUCGUGCCUCUCGCACGGACUCGAUGGACCCCGAGCAUGUUGGGGUUGUGGCGUGGCCGACCAUAGAGCACCGUGGCUCCUGCACGGUCUCGAGAGUCGCCACCAGCGUGGUCGGGGCGUGUUCCACCAGAGAGUGUCGUGCCUCUUGCACGAACUCGAUGGACCCCGAGCGCAUUGAAGUCGCAAUGUGGCCGCCAGAGAGCGCCGCGCCUCCUGCACGGCCUCGUUGGUCGCCAAUGUCAUGGUCGAGGCCUUGCCGCCCCAUGACCGUCUCUUCAUCGCUCCCAGUUGAUAGGCCCUGAAAACAAUGUUGUCGGGGAGUGGCCUAUCGAAGUUGGUGUUGAGCCAAAUGAAGAGUGUCGUGGCAGCCAUACGGGCUUGGAGAACCCUGAGAACUUGGUUGUUGGGGUUCAGCGAGAACCCUGAGAACUUGGUUGUUGGGGUUCAGCCUGGGCAUUCGGGUAUUUUGGUUAUUUCGGUUCGGGUAGUUCGGUUUAUGGGUAAUUCAGGUAUUAAAAAAUGGGAACCAAAAUUAUUUCUGUCAAAAAAAAUACCCGAACCCAAAUUACCCAAAAUUUCGGUUCGGGUAAUUCGGGUACCCAAAAUACCCAAAAUAUUCUGAGCAUACAUCAACUUUUGAUAUGAAUAACUCGGAUAGUAUGAGUAUUUUUGGUAAUAUGAGUAUUUUAGUUAGUAUGGGUAUAAUAACAUGAAAAUUUUGGACAGUAUGAAUAAUUUGGGUAGUAUGGGUAUUUCGGGUUUUCCACACUAGAACCCGAACCCUAACCCGAAAACCGAAUAGUCAAGAAAUGAGAACCGAACCCUUACCCGAUACCCGAAUUACCUGACAAUUCGGGUAAUUCGGUUCGGGUUCGGGUAGCGGGUUCGGGUACCCAAACGCCCAGGGUGAGUUGGGGUGUGGCCGACCUGAGUUGACGUGCGCUCAUGCACGGGCUCACUGGUCGCCAGCAUCAUGGUCGGGACGUGGCUCACCAGAUGUGUUGUUGCCGUGCCUCCUGACAUGGGCUUGUCGAGUCUCGAGGUUGUCGGGGACGCCAUGUCAACUUGCACUGGCUUGUCGGGUCUCGAGGUUGUCGGGGACGCCGUUGCUGUGCCAACUUGCACGGGCUUGACCAACGUCGUAGGGGACAUGGUUGCUGGGGUGUGGCUCCCCCACACCCGGGUCUUCAUCGCCUCCCAAUCGUAGGUCCCUGAAAACAUUGUUGUCGGGGAGAGCGCUACCGUUGUCGGGAGGGGAUUAGUUGAAGAGCUCCGUGCCUCCCGCACGAACUUGACGGUUGCCGGCACCAUGGUCGCUGACGUCUUCGAUGCUUGUCGGGACCAUGGUCGCCAGAGGCGUUGGGCCGUCCUGCACUGUCUCGACGCAAGCCAUCAUCAUUGCUGGCCCACCAUCCUCUUCAGCUUGGACGAGGUUUCCGCACGACACGGAGAAAUUUCCGCACGACUCUCGCGUCGUCCAUGGGGUCGCUGAGCGCCCAGAGCUGUGACGCAAGGCUGGAGAUCCGCAUGGCGAAGUCGUCAACGAGCUCGCCCUCCUUGAAGGCGAUGUUCUUGAAGUCCGCCCGCAACUUCUGCACGUUUGCCUCGCGCACGCGGUUGCUGCUGAGGCGCUUGGUACGGAUGGCUUCCUGCGCCUCCUUGGCGCCUGCCUUCGUCGCGAGUAUGUCAUGCAUCUCCUACGGCGUGGCGCGCAUGAGUGCCGCCACGGCUUUCUUGUCCUCCUUCCUCUCGAUUGUGUCGUCCUUCAUGGGAACCCUGAGGCUCGCCGCAUGGAGGUUGCACUCCAUGAUCAACGCCCACUCGUUGUAGUUCGAGCGCGUGAGCAUCAGGAAGGUGAUGGGCACACUACCAGUGACUACGGUUUCGCGCACGAUCUCCCUAACCACGACCUCACCGCCACGACUGAGCCACGGCUGCGCCCUACUUGGAGCCGUCCUGUAAUAGCUGCGACUUGGAACCAUCCCACAUGGCUACCGCAACCUGAGGCUCUGAUACCAAUUGUUAGCCCAGACUACGGAGUAGCUGGCUUCUGAGGAUCCGACGAAGUUGAGGGAUAACAACCUGAACUACAGCUAGUAUAAACUAGCAGAACACACACGCAUACACUGGGAUGGAGCUACUCUUACUAGCUUUAUAUAUGUAGCUGAGUGGCUUCUUGCCUUGUAUUGAUUGGAAUGGAAUGAUUACAACCGUCUGUGAGCUGCUCCUUAUAUAGCAGUUGUGAACCGACCUAAGCAUAAAUAUCAGCUGGACCUUAGCUAAGCACUCACGUCAC
rnacentral:lncRNA from 1 species